GGAUCGGUGGCUGAGGGGUUGAAGGCGGCCGGUUGCUAACCGGUUGGGGAACCCCGUUCCCUCGCAGGUUCGAAUCCUGCCCGAUCCGCCA
rnacentral:tRNA from 1 species